GCCCGGCUAGCUUCGUUGGUAGAGCAUGAGACUCUUAAUCUCAGGGUCGUGGGUUCGAACCCCACGUUUGGUG
rnacentral:tRNA from 1 species